rnacentral:lncRNA from 1 species
AGACAUCUGGGCUGCUAGCUGCAUGAAGGAGCUACCCGCUGUGGGUCUCCUCUUUGCUGACAGCUGGACACUUGACAGAAUGACCUGCCUGAACUCGGGACCUGCAGAAUGAUGGGACUGAAGAAGCUGUAACACAAACAGGGCUAAAACACGCACUCUCCUCCCCCUGCUCCCCACCGCCCCACCCACUUGCCACAUUGGAGGUGAUGAGAAGGAGAGAAGAGCUGUGGCCUUUCAGGGAGCAUAGUCCCAGGGGCUCCCUGAGCCAGGGCUGUGAAACCCUCUUCCGGGCACUGCAGUUCCUGGCAUCUCCAAACUUCUGAGUGCCACCGCAUUCCCCGCGUCCGGAUGCAGGUCAAUGCACAGAAAGAAAUCUCUCUCCUGACUUUAGUACAAUGGCACGAUUGGUGGCCACAGUCCAAGGAUGGUUGCUGAGGCAAGAUUCUUCAAAGCCUAAGGCUGUGCUAUCCCUCCUAGCUUUUCCGUCUCCGCUCUCUACACUGCAUGAUUCCUGAGCAAAAGAGCUGGGACUCUCUUCGUGCUUGGAUUAUUCUCACUUAUUUCUUGCUGGUUGACCUCAAUACACAAGACUUGGCAUAGCACCUCACAGGUAGUUUGUUAAGUGAAUGAAUGAAGGACCAGUACUUGCAGCUGUUCUACUCAUACUACCACCUAAUUCCUCCUAUCAGAACACCAUAGGAAUGGAGUUAUAUAUUCAUUGCUUAGCCUCAUGCACUCUCAUAAUAUAAAGUAAGGAUGAACUAAGCAGAUACAGCCAAAUCUUGCUUGUCUGAAUAAAAUCAAUUUCAAAAGGAUAUUAUACCUCAAGGCAUAUUCAUGAAUUAGCAAGUAAUUCAACUUAAUAGGAAUAUGGUUCAUAUGAAAGAAAAUAGAUACACAUUAGGAAAGGCAGAACAUGAAGUUCUUUGGCUGAGAAGAACAAUGUUUAUUUGGCUAGCAAUAGGGAAAUACUGAUAAUUUUAACCCUUAGAAAUAUCCCAAAUUUUAGGAUGUUUCAAACUUCUUAGCCAAUGGAAAUUUUGUACUUUUGAUUAAAAAUUAUGCAAUUGGUCAA